rnacentral:sRNA from 1 species
AUGAUGCUGCUGUUGCUGUGUCUGGGGCUGACCCUCGUCUGUGCCGAGGAGGAAGAAAGCAAUAAUGCUGUGACAAGCAACUUUGAUCUGUCAAAGAUUUCAGGAGAGUGGUAUUCGGUUCUCUUGGCCUCUGACCGCAGGGAAAAGAUAGAAGAAGAUGGAAGCAUGAGGGUUUUUGUCAAACACACUGAUAACCUGGGGAACUCUUCUCUGACUUUUAAAUUGCAUGAAAUGUAAUGAAAAUGGAAACUGUACUGAAAUUAAUUUGACUUGUAAACCAACAGAAAAGAAUGCCAUAUGUAGUGCUGACUAAAUAACGGACACAAUGUCGUUGACAUACUUGAAACAGACUAUGAUAAUUAUAUUUUUUAUAACAAGAAUAUCAAGAAUGGGGAAACAUUCCUAAUGCUGGAGCUCUGUGCUCGAACACCAGAUGUGAGCUCACAACUCAAGGAGAGGUUUGUGAAAUAUUGUGAAGAACAUGGGAUUGAUAAGGAAAACAUAUUUGACUUGACCAAAGUUGAUCGCUGUCUCCAGGCCCGAGAUGGGGGAGCAGCCUAG